rnacentral:rRNA from 1 species
UACGGAGGGUGCAAGCGUUAUCCGGAUUCACUGGGUUUAAAGGGUGCGUAGGUGGGUUGGUAAGUCAGUGGUGAAAUCUCCGAGCUUAACUCGGAAACUGCCAUUGAUACUAUCAAUCUUGAAUUUUCUGGAGGUGAGCGGAAUAUGUCAUGUAGCGGUGAAAUGCUUAGAUAUGACAUAGAACACCCAUUGCGAAGGCAGCUCACUACGGGAUAAUUGACACUGGGGGCACGAAAGCGUGGGGAUCAAACAGG